GGGUGAGGAACACGUUGGAACCUACCUAGAAGUGGAGCAUAAUCUUCCGAAAGGAAGACUAAUUCUCCAUAGUCCCGAAAGGGUAAAGAUUUAUCGCUUCUAGAGGGUCCUGCGACCUAUCAGCUAGUUGGCGGGGUAAAAGCCCACCAAGGCUAUGACGGGUAGCUGAAUUGAGAGAUCGACCAGCCACAAGGGAACUGAGACACGGUCCCUACUCCUACGGGAGGCAGCAGUGAGGAAUCUUCGGCAAUGGGCGAAAGCCUGACCGAGCAACACCGCGUGAAGGAUGAAGGCCUUUGGGUUGUAAACUUCUUUUCUGGGGGAAGAAUUCUGACGGUACCCUAGGAAUAAGCACCGGCUAACUCCGUGCCAGCAGCCGCGGUAAGACGGAGGGUGCAAGCGUUAUCCGGAAUCACUGGGCGUAAAGCGUAUGUAGGCGGUUUGGUAAGUCGGGGGUUAAAUUUUCAUGCUCAACGUGAAAACUGUUUCCGAAACUGCCAAGCUACGAAGAGUGCAGAGGCAAGCGGAAUUCUGAGUGUAGGGGUAAAAUCCGUAGAUACUCGGAGGAACGCCAAAAGCGAAAGCAGCUUGCUGGGCAUUUCUUGACGCUGAGAUACGAAAGCGUGGGGAGCAAACAGGAUUAGAUACCCUGGUAGUCCACGCCGUAAACUAUGAGAACUCGAUGUAGGAGGUAUCGACCCCUUCUGUGUCUAAGCUAACGCGUUAAGUUCUCCGCCUGUGUAGUACGACCGCAAGGUUAAAACAUAAAGGAAUAGACGGGGACCCACACAAGCGGUGGAGCAUGUUGUUUAAUUCGACGCUAAGCGAGGAACCUCACCCUGGUUUGACAUCUUGGGAAUCCCUGUGAAAGCAGGGAGUGCCGCAAGGAACCCAAAGACAGGUGUUGCAUGGUUGUCGUCAGCUCGUGCCUUGAGGUGUUUGGUUAAGUCCAUAAACGAGCGCAACCCUCGUCCUGUGUUGUAUUUUUCGCAGGAGACUGCCGGCGCAAAGUCGGAGGAAGGUGGGGAUGACGUCAAAUCAGCAUGACCCUUAUACCAGGGGCGACAAACGUGCUACAAUGGUUGAUACAGAGGGCAGCCAACUCGCAAGAGGGAGCCAAUCCCAAAAAUCAGCCUAAGUUCGGAUUGAGGUCUGCAACUCGACCUCAUGAAGUUGGAAUCGCUAGUAAACGCAAAUCAGCCACGUUGCGUUGAAU
rnacentral:rRNA from 1 species